rnacentral:misc_RNA from 1 species
AGUAAGAUCCUCCUGCAUCUUCUUAAUCCUAUUAGAUAGUUUCAUAGGAUUUGCGUUAUUGGGAUAGACUUGUUGAAACUCCUUCUCGAGCUUCAGCUGAACCAGGGUAAGAUCGUGAUUUGCCUUUGUCAAUAGAUUCACUAAACUGUCUGCUGCUUGGUGUUGGUGUUGGUGAUGAUGGUGGGUGUUAUGCCUCAUUUUCUUCCCCCUUCUCCUUUUUAGGGUUUCACUGCACAAAAUAUUUUGCUCCGCACCGCUCUACUUUGCCCGCGCCCAGCACCAGCCUUUUGAUUUUGGAAUUUU